UGGCUACCUGGUCGAUCCGCAGACCGCCGAUACCGUGAAGUCGGUGCUCCAGUCGACGGCGUCGAUCCCGGCCGUGGCCUCGGUGGUUAACGUGGAGGCGACGUCUUACGACGUGCUGAUUGACCAUACUGACAUUGGCGCUGGCUGGGCGACGGAGACCGACCCGAGCGCAGAGACCGGUACGCCCUCAAUCGACCGCAUCACUAUCCCGCUGCAUGAGCUGAGCGCGCUGCCCAAGGCCUCGCAGCGCCUCCUUGAUGACAGCGCCUUCGACAUCGAAGGUUGGCUUGCAGGCCGGAUCGCCGAUAAAUUCGCUCGGGCCGAGGCGGCUGCGUUCCUGAGCGGCGAUGGGGUGGACAAACCCACCGGCAUCCUCAGCCAUCCCACCGUGGACAACGACGUCUGGUCCUGGGGCAGCCUUGGCUAUGUGGCGACAGGCGUCGAUGGCGACAUCGGCAAUGGCGAUGCGAUCAUUGAUCUGGUCUAUGCGCUGGGGGCUCAGUAUCGGGCCGGGGCGUCUUUCGUGAUGAACUCCAAAACCGCAGGCGUGAUCCGCAAGCUGAAGGACGCCGAUGGCCGUUUCCUGUGGUCCGAUGGUCUUGCUGCUGGUGAGCCUGCGCGACUGAUGGGUUACCCGGUGCUGGUGGCAGAGGAUAUGCCGGAUGUCGCCUCAGGCAGCUACUCGGUGGCGUUUGGGGACUUUGCUGCCGGAUAUACCAUCGCAGAACGCCCCGAUCUGCGGGUGCUGCGCGAUCCCUUCAGUGCAAAACCGCACGUCCUGUUCUA
rnacentral:rRNA from 1 species